CGGCGUAAAGAGUGGUUAUGGGUUAAAUUUAAACUAGAGCUAAAGACCAUCCAAGCCGUUAUACGCAUACGAUGGUUCGAACCACUUCGACGAAAGUAGCUUUACCCUCUCCAACCAGAAUCCACGACAGCUGGGAAACAAACUGGGAUUAGAUACCCCACUAUGCCCCGCCGUAAACUUAGAUGUCAGACUACAAUAGACAUCCGCCUGGGGACUACGAGCGCCAGCUUAAAACCCAAAGGACUUGGCGGUGCUUCAGACCCCCCUAGAGGAGCCUGUUCUAGAACCGAUAACCCCCGUUCAACCUCACUAUUUCUUGCCCCUCCCGCCUAUAUACCGCCGUCGCCAGCUUACCCUGUGAAGGAGAAAAAGUAAGCAGGAUGGGCAUAGCCCAGAACGUCAGGUCGAGGUGUAGCGUAUGAAAUAGGAAGAAAUGGGCUACAUUAUCUGAGCCAGAUGACUACGGAGAGUCGCCUGAAACCUGGCGAUUCGAAGGUGGAUUUAGCAGUAAGGGGAGAAUAGAGCGCCCCCCUGAAGCCGGCUCUGAAGCGCGCACAUACCGCCCGUCACUCUCCCCAACAGCA
rnacentral:rRNA from 1 species